ensembl:lncRNA
GAGGAUUUUGGUCUCUUCCCAUGACUGAUCUGCAAAGCCAUUAGCUCGAGAAGCAAUGGAUCAGCUGUGAACAAGGAGGAGCCUGACAUUGCUUCUACACCACCUGUCUGGGAGCUGUUCCACCCAGACUUCCCCUCGUGUGCCUACAAAAACACACUGUUUUGGGCCAACUUUCCAUCGUCACAUUUGCAGCCAUCUGAAAGCCAGAGCCAGGCUUUGGUGCCGGAAAUAUAGCAGAUCUUCUAAAUGGAGGAGAAACUUCCCUUCUCAGCCUUCCCAGCUUCUGAGGGUGCUAAGCACCGUGAGGUCAUCCCUGGAGGAUAAGCUUCUUGUAACAAGGUUUUCUCUCCCUAAGUCUGGAGUAAAUAGGGAGACCUUCUUCCAAAGGUGGCACUGCUGGCUAUUCAAAUGAAUACAGAGAGCUGACUGUGAACGGUCAUGUUCACAAACACAUUUUCCUUUACUGGCAGAGCAUCUGAAAACAUACCUGCGAUUACCUUGGAUUUGGUCAUGAUGAAAAGACAGUGAAAGUUUAUUCUCAAGUUGCACUUCUUCCUUUCUGUUUUUGGAAGCAAAAUGACCGACGUGCAGCUUUGCCAUGGUUGAUGAUGUGACUUUGGCUCACAGCCCAGAAGAAUGUCACUGCCCGACAGGAUGAGGAGGAGAGAACCAAAAUCUAGUGCUGGAGAAUUGUAAAGCCGUGUAACAUUUUUUCAGCUGCUUUUGAAACCUGGUGGCAUGAAUGUGAACAUGAGAAGUGUACCAAUAGACCUCUUAUUUUUAAAUCGGCUCUUGAACCACAACCAGUAUAUUUCCAGUGCUGACAUUCUCUCUCCAAGUAUCAGUAAGUUUUGGCAACUUCUCUAGAGCACAAGGAACCAGGAUCUCUGCAAUCCAGGAUGGUGUCUGAUAGACAGGAGGAGAGCAGGCAUUCUUCGCUAACCAUGCUGUCCUGCCCGGCUCUUGCUUCUCCCUGAAGAUAUUCACUAAAGGCUGCAGUGCCCAAACACCAGGGUGACCUUGUGCUGACUUAGCACAUUGAAGAAGGCAUCUUCUGCAGAGCCUUCUUCCCUUUCCUCUGACUUUGGCUACUCCCUUGGCACAACAUCAUGGCUGUCCCACUGCUGAAAGCAAUGCCCACUGCAGGGCUAUGUCAAGCCUGGAAAGAGUCUUAGGUAGACAUCUAACAAUGCUGUUACCCGUUUCGCCAUAACUCUUGGUGAUGGUCUGUGUUUCUAAAAUGUGAGACAAAGACCCAGGUGGAAAGGAGCAUGAGGGGCCUGAGCUAGUGGUUGCAUCAGCAUCACAGGAGAGCAGAGCAAAGGCAAUCUGAACCCAGGAUGUAAGUGUGGGAAUGGUGUAUGGGCAUCAAGUAGAAAGGCUGCUGGAGAAGAGUCCUACAGCAGGACAGUAACCAGAAAGAUGCACACAGAUCUGCAUAUUAGAAACCCCUGUCCAGUUUUGAUCGUACAACAUGGAGAAGGAAGCAACCUACUUUUAUCACUGUGUAUCCUUGUUCUCAAGCACUUGGAACUCUUUGGAGUUGAGCUGAAUGCUGCUCAUUUCUGGAUGUGUGCUGAGCUUUGAUCUCAGCAAAGCUGUGCGUGUGGCCAGAAUAACAUCACCAAAACACCAGAGCUCGCACUGUCGUGCUGGAGCACCCUCAUCCCAGACAGGUGCUUCUGCUCUGCCUUGUUUGUUUUUUGUCUGCGGAGAAGGAAACCAGAUGUGGCGUGCACGGUGCAGGAGAUUGAAGGAGAUGCCCAGGGCUCUGCAGAGCAGAGAGGUCUUCCUCUGCAGAAGUCCUCCGGCAGCAAGUGGCUGCGGGAAGGACACAGGCGAGGGAACGGCCCGGACCUGUCGCGGGAGGAUCGUCACCCCGUUUGCACUCACUUCUUGGCUGCCCUGCAUUUUGGAGCAGCUGACUCAAGAGGGCAGCAAGCCGACGGGCUGCCACCGGCUUCAGCGGCCAGCCCUGCCCCGCCGGAUCCCACCGACGGCCUCCGCGCCCGGGAGGGCUGCGUGUCGGAGGAAUUCGCCGGGAUGACGCGUGCUCCUGAUCGAAGGACACGGGAGGACCCGGGGGUGCUCUGCUGCCCUCUCCCCACGCCCCCCGGCUCCUGGCUGGGGAGGCAAGGUUGCCUCAAUGCUGCUGGGUGAAAUCUGGUCUCACCUCUGCAGGUGACACGAGCCUGGAGCCUGUCCCACCCUGAAACUUCCGUGGUUGCCAGCAUGACCACGAAAUGGAGGUGAAAUCUCUCCCUCCUGCUGUCACUGUGGUUACGGCUGCCUCCCUCGUGCCUCCAAAGGGGAGCCAAGGAAGUUUCUGGGCACUGAGAACACAAAGUACGUGCAACACACAAAGGGCUUUAGACCCUGACGGGCCUUCCUUGCACAGCCCAUUGCUGUUUCUCGUAGGGACUGAAGGCGCUUUGUGAAACACACGGAAAGGUCAACUAUUUUCACCACGGCUUGCCUAAGAAUCUCAACAUCCUUUCCUGUAAGAGCUGCGUUGGUGACUUCCUACUGCAGCACUGAAUCACAACAGCUUCCCACAGCAACCAGCAGUAAAAAUAAACCGAGCAAGGGGAAGUGGUUGGCUUCAACCAGCCAUUCCGCUUCCUGGGGCACACGCUUGAGACACGGAGCAGCAACGCCAAAGACAUUUAUGUUGCUGACAGCAAUGAAAUCCGCGCGCGGCUCCGAGCACGGCCCUGCCGAACACACACAGCCUUGCAGCGGGACGCUCAGCCUGCUUGAAGAUAACCACGUGCGCAAGCGCCGCGUCGGCUCCGCGUUUCCAGCAGGGGCCGGACUUAAGAAUUAGCCUAAAAGGAGACAGGCGCGACGAGAACCCUCCGCUUCGAGGCCCCUUCCCCAAAUGGGCAGAGGAGUUCCGCUAGCGCCGCUUUUGUUACGGAGCGCCGCUCCGACCCCGCAGCGCUCGGCGGGACCCCGCGCCCCUUCCCGCGCUUUGCCCCCGCCCCCUCCCGCCGCACCUCAUUGGUGCA